GCCCGUGUAGCUCAGGGGAUAGAGCGCAGCGCUGCGGACGCUGAGGUCACAGGUUCGAGUCCUGCCACGGGUG
rnacentral:tRNA from 1 species